rnacentral:lncRNA from 1 species
UACUGAACAGUCAUGUCCCACCUACAGAGAGAGAGUCAAUCACACAGUCAGGCAGGGAAGUGAAACUCAUAAUAGAAACACGUCGAUACACAACUUCAUUUCCAUAAGUUUUUCCAGCUGUGACCGUUUCUCUGCAGAUUUUGUGCUUGUGUUGCCGUUCAGAAUGAUUUCAGUCGGAUUUAAAGAGACACACGAGAGACGAUGAUCUUGUUGCUUCUUAUACUCACCUCCGCAGCAGCAGCCUUUAAAGUGAAGGUGACACAGACCUCCUAUCAGGCAGAGGAGAACCAAAACAUCACACUGGAGUGGACGUUUCCCAACACUAACACUACAUCUGAACAGCUUUAUAUCCUCUGUGGACAUUUAACCAACAAAGAGGCCUCUGCUCUGUAUCAUGUCCAUGCUGGUGUCACUCUGUCAGAGUCUCAACAUAAACAUUUUUCAGGAAGAGUCCAGAGUGACACAGAAGCCCUCAGAGAAGGUCGAAUCAGACUCCAACUGUCCAGACUCAGGACUGAAGACUCUGGUCUGUAUGUGUGUGAAGUACAGACAGAAUCUGGUCAUGGCUCUGCCAGCUGUGAGCUGAGUGUCUCUGCAGCAGCUCAACCAGAAACACAAAGAGUGACUCCGAUUCAACCGACAUGGAGUGAAGGAAAAGUUGGGCUCUACUUUGGGCUGAUCUUAUCAGCAGUAGCUCUGCUAGCUGUGUUUGUUCAUCGCUGCAUUGAUAAGAAUAAGAAGACCACACCUGUUAAAGUGUCUGAGAAACAAACUUCCUUAGAUGGAACUGACACAUAAUAAAUGUGUAGAAUAUAGUUUCGGUUUGCAUUUUUACAUUUGUCAGUAGAUAACUGUCGCCUCACAGUGCACACUGCACUUUCUGAGUGGAGUUAGCAUGUUCUCCCUGUGCCUGCAUGUGUUUUCUCUGUGUACUGUAGCUUCCUCCCACACUCUAAACUGGUUGUGAAUGGUUGCAUGUCUAUCCCUUCAAUGUCAACCAGCUCCGCAAUGGACUGCCAAUGUGCCCUGGGUGCCUCUCUCCUGUUGAUAGCUGGGAUAGGCUCCAGUAUGAGCGGGUUCAGAAAAUGGAUGGAUAGACAUUGUUACAGUCCCUGCUGUCACCAAAGUUACCGUUUAUAAUGUGUAUUUAAUGUAAAUAGAAAGAAAUAAGUUGUAAUUAUUUUUUUUCCGAAAACAGCAAUUGAACAAAAACUAAUCAAUGUUUACACAGAAAUAAACUGCUGGCUUCAAGGACA